AGCGAACGCUGGCGGCAUGCUUAACACAUGCAAGUCGCACGGGCAGGGCAACCUGUCAGUGGCGGACGGGUGAGUAACGCGUAGGAAUCUAUCCUUGGGUGGGGGACAACCGUGGGAAACUACGGCUAAUACCGCAUGAUCCCUGAGGGGCAAAGGCGAAAGUCGCCUGAGGAGGAGCCUGCGUCUGAUUAGGUAGUUGGUGGGGUAAAGGCCUACCAAGCCUGCGAUCAGUAGCUGGUC
rnacentral:rRNA from 1 species